GACGAACGCUGGCGGCGUGCUUAACACAUGCAAGUCGAACGGAAAGGCCCUGCUUGCCGGGUACUCGAGUGGCGAACGGGUGAGUAACACGUGGGUGAUCUGCCCUGCACUUCGGGAUAAGCCUGGGAAACUGGGUCUAAUACCGGAUAGGAGCCAUUUUUAGUGUGAUGGUUGGAAAGUUUUUUCGGUGUAGGAUGAGCUCGCGGCCUAUCAGCUUGUUGGUGGGGUAAUGGCCUACCAAGGCGGCGACGGGUAGCCGGCCUGAGAGGGUGGACGGCCACAUUGGGACUGAGAUACGGCCCAGACUCCUACGGGAGGCAGCAGUGGGGAAUAUUGCACAAUGGGCGCAAGCCGGAUGCAGCGACGCCGCGUGGGGGAUGACGGCCUUCGGGUUGUAAACUCCUUUCGCUAGGGACGAAGCUUUUUGUGACGGUACCUAGAUAAGAAGCACCGGCUAACUACG
rnacentral:rRNA from 1 species